GACGAACGCUGGCGGCGUGCUUAACACAUGCAAGUCGAACGGAAAGGCCCUGCUUGCCGGGUACUCGAGUGGCGAACGGGUGAGUAACACGUGGGUGAUCUGCCCCGCACUUCGGGAUAAGCUUGGGAAACUGGGUCUAAUACCGGAUAGGAACCAUCUUUAGUGUGGUGGUUGGAAAGUUUUUUCGGUGUAGGAUGAGCUCGCGGCCUAUCAGCUUGUUGGUGGGGUAAUGGCCUACCAAGGCGGCGACGGGUAGCCGGCCUGAGAGGGUGUACGGCCACAUUGGGACUGAGAUACGGCCCAGACUCCUACGGGAGGCAGCAAUGGGGAAUAUUGCACAAUGGGCGCAAGCCUGAUGCAGCGACGCCGCGUGGGGGAUGAAGGCCUUCGGGUUGUAAACUCCUUUCGCUAGGGACGAAGCUUUGUUGUGACGGUACCUAGAUAAGAAGCACCGGCUAACUACGUG
rnacentral:rRNA from 1 species